rnacentral:rRNA from 1 species
AGUGGGGAAUUUUGGACAAUGGGCGAAAGCCUGAUCCAGCAAUGCCGCGUGCAGGAUGAAGGCCUUCGGGUUGUAAAGUGCUUUUGUCCGGAACGAAAAAGCUCGUUCUAAUACAGGGGGGACAUGACGGUACCGUAAGAAUAAGCACCGGCUAACUACGUGCCAGCAGCCGCGGUAAUACGUAGGGUGCGAGCGUUAAUCGGAAUUACUGGGCGUAAAGCGUGCGCAGGCGGUUAUGUAAGACAGAUGUGAAAUCCCCGAGCUCAACCUGGGAACUGCAUUUGUGACUGCAGNGCUAGAGUGCGGUANAGGGGGAUGGAAUUCCCCGUGUAGCAGUGAAAUGCGUAGAUAUGCGGAGGAACACCGAUGGCGAAGGC